CUUGGUCAUUUAGAGGAAGUAAAAGUCGUAACAAGGUCUCCGUUGGUGAACCAGCGGAGGGAUCAUUACAGAGUUGCAAAACUCCCAACCCUUUGUGAACGAACCUACCAGUUGCCUCGGCGGCGAGCCUGUCAGGCGGACCGCCGAAGGAAUACAAACUCUUUGCAUUAUAGUAUCUCUGAUUACUUAUUCAAUAAGUUAAAACUUUCAACAACGGAUCUCUUGGUUCUGGCAUCGAUGAAGAACGCAGCGAAAUGCGAUAAGUAAUGUGAAUUGCAGAAUUCAGUGAAUCAUCGAAUCUUUGAACGCACAUUGCGCCCGUUAGUAUUCUGGCGGGCAUGCCUGUUCGAGCGUCAUUUCAACCAUCAAGCCCUAGGCUUGUGUUGGAGCCCUGCGGCUGCCGCAGCCUCCUAAAAACAGUGGCGGGCUCGCUAUUACACCGAGUGCAGUAGUUUACUCUUCGCUCAGGGCGUGUGGCGGGUGCUGGCCGUGAAACCCCCUACUUCUUAAGGUUGACCUCGGAUCAGGUAGGAAUACCCGCUGAGUUUAAGCAUAUCAAUAAGCGGAGGA
rnacentral:rRNA from 1 species